rfam:Tetragenococcus halophilus NBRC 12172 DNA, complete genome.
AAAUGGAAGUAGAAGCACCCGCUUCUCGCCUUAGUGACAGAUGUGGCUGGGCAGAAUAGUUUUUACACAAAAAAGUUCGUUAGAGCUUAGUGUGGAUACGUGCGGGUUCUUAUAGAAGAACUCGUUUUUUUAUGGUGAU